ensembl:lncRNA
GUCCGGGGUGAGUUCAUGUGCAACGGGAAUCCGGGAAGAGCGGGAGAUGACUGAGCUCUCCGUCACCUCACCGUCACAACUGUUCUUAUAGUGUGGAGAAAUCAUCCAAGUAUUAAAAAAGACGUUCUAGGACGAUCUUACUGCAGUAUAAAUCUUCCUCAUAUAAUCUGGGGUGUCAGACAUAUUUCACAAAGGGUGUAGGGUCAGCUGAUCUUUUGGUCUUCCUUUUAAUUGAUGUCCAGCUAAGACCUAGACAAUCAGGUUUGGGCAGGUCCUUAGUAAUUAGUGAUCUUCAUUUUCAACCAAGGCAAGAGUGAAAACCUGUAAGCACUCAGCCUCCAUGGAAUGAGUUUGACCAGUUUUGUAGAUAAUCCAAGUGUUCAUCAUUUUGCUUCUAAUGUUGUGCAGCAAGUGUUUGCAGGUUCUCAUUCGCCACAGUACAUCCCUAUUGUUGUGGGAGUGUCUGUGGGAGUGUCUUUGGCAGUGUCGGUGUGUGUCCUUGUCGCUGUCAUCAUAUUAUGCAGGAGAACCACCAAUAUCAGCCUUGGUCUGAAUACAAUGAACCACCCCACCCCACCAGACAACGAAGACAGGAGUCAACCUGCUGGCAGUAUCACCUAUGCCUCCAUCAACUACAUAAACCAAUAUUCCCCCAAGAGAGUUGUCGCCCAUGAGGAUGCAGUGACCUAUGCCUCAGUUAUGACCUCUACUGACAGAGGAAGAGAAACAGAGAACCCUGCUGACCCCAACUCCCUCUAUUCUACUGUCAAUAAACAUCAGGGAGUUCAGCCAUAUGAGCAACAGUCAUUAAUUUAAAC